UCUAUUUUGGCAGAAAAGUGCGAUGGAUUUAGAAUCCAUUAAUGUGAGGUUGAUUCUUACAGAUAGAA
rnacentral:tRNA from 1 species